ACCUGGGAUAGCUCAGUCGGUAAAGCAGGAGACUCUUAAUCUUAGGGUCAUGGGUUCUAGCCUCAUGUUGGGCA